GACCAGGCUCAAAACAUGAGUACAAUGCAAACUAUCAUUCAAAUGUUGGCAGCAAAAAAUGGGAUAGAUCUAGCAAACAUUCCGGGGUUAGUUCCAAGCAACAAUGCUGGUGAGGAUGCAUCGGGUGUAAGGGAGGAUGAAACUUCUCUUGGUUGAAAUAGAGGUUGGUGAUGGAUGUUCGUGGUUCAGUAGUGAUAUAUAUCGUUUUGCACGUUGGCAUUCAUUUAAUUUUUCUUUGUUUCGUUUUAUAGGUUUUUCUGUUGAAUGUUUAUAUACUUUUGGGAAUUAUUAUGUUUUGGAUUGUUGGAUAUAGUUAGACGCAUUUUAGGAUUCUUAUGUUUAGUUUUGUUGGAUAUUUGAAUAAAAUUUGGGAUAUUGAAAUGCAUUUGAUAUUAAUUUGGUUACA